GAGCCACAAUAACCUUACAAGCCUUCCUCUAAAUGUAUUGGGCAGCCUUAGAGAUCUUGUGUUGCUGGAAAUUCAAGGAAACAACCUAACUCUGGAUCAUCGACUAUGUGGAUUGUUUGCUCUAAAAGCUCGUGCUGAUGUGAUUAUAAUGGCCAGCAGAAUAUCCAAUUACGUUAGAAGUCUGAAUUCAACAUUUUGUUCCCAGGACUGUUCCAGGGCACCAAAAGGAGAGCCUACAUGCAACACCAGCUCUAGAUGUGUUGGUGUUCUUAGUAACUAUAUAUGCAAAGAGAUUAAAUGCCCAGUGCAGAAUAUUUUGAAUGGCACAUCCAAUAGCACAAUAAUCAAAUAUUUCGAAGCUGUCCAAUUUACUUGUAAUGCUGGCUUUUGGUUGAGUGGACCUGCAACAUCAAAGUGCGUCAAUCAUGAAACUCUUACUAAGGUACCACAGUGUUUAGAGAUUAAAUGCCCAGUGCGGAAUAUUUUGAAUGGCAGAGCCAAUAGCACAUCAAUCAAAUAUUUCGAAGCUGUCCAAUUUACUUGUAAUGCUGGUUUUUGGUUGAGUGGCCCUGCAACAUCAAAAUGCGUCAACCAUGAAACUCUUACUAA